UACGUAGGUCCCGAGCGUUGUCGGGACUUAUUGGGCAUAAAGCGAGCGCAGGUGGUUUAUUAAGUCUGGUGUAAAAGGCAGUGGCUCAACCAUUGUAUGCAUUGGAAACUGGUAGACUUGAGUGCAGGAGAGGAGAGUGGAAUUCCAUGUGUAGCGGUGAAAUGCGUAGAUAUAUGGAGGAACACCGGUGGCGAAAGCGGCUCUCUGGCCUGUAACUGACACUGAGGCUCGAAAGCGUGGGGAGCAAACAGG
rnacentral:rRNA from 1 species